GGGGCUGUAGCUCAGUUGGGAGAGCGCUUGAAUGGCAUUCAAGAGGUCAGGGGUUCGACUCCCCUCAGCUCCAC
rnacentral:tRNA from 1 species